rnacentral:rRNA from 1 species
AUUGAACGUUGGCGGCGUGGAUUAGGCAUGCAAGUCGCGCGAGAAAUUUCCUUCGGUAGAUGGAAAGCGGCGAAAGGGAGAGGAAUAAGUAGAAAUCUGCCCUCGGGACGGGGAUAGCGGCGGGAAACUGCCGGUAAUACCCGAUAACAUCUUCGGAUCAAAUGGUGUGAUUCCGCCUGGGGAUGAGUCUACGUCCUAUUAGCUAGUUGGCGGGAUAAUGGCCCACCAAGGCAACGAUGGGUAGCGGGUGUGAGAGCACGAUCCGCCUCACUGGGAAGGAGACACUGCCAAGACACCUACGGGUGGCUGCAGGCGAGAAUCUUCGGCGAUGGGGGAAAACCUGACCGAGCGACGCCGCGUGCGGGAUGAAGGCCCUCGGGUUGUAAACCGCUGUCGUAAGGGAACAAAUCUAUGAGGGUACUCUCUCAUAGUUGAGUGACCUUAGGAGGAAGGACGGGCUAAGUUCGUGCCAGCCGCCGCAGUAACAC